rnacentral:rRNA from 1 species
GACGAACGCUGGCGGCAUGCCUAACACAUGCAAGUCGAACGAGACCUUCGGGUCUAGUGGCGCACGGGUGCGUAACGCGUGGGAACCUGCCCUUAGGUUCGGAAUAACUCCCCGAAAGGGGUGCUAAUACCGGAUAAUGUCUUCGGACCAAAGAUUUAUCGCCUUUGGAUGGGCCCGCGUUGGAUUAGCUAGUUGGUAGGGUAAAAGCCUACCAAGGCGACGAUCCAUAGCUGGUCUGAGAGGAUGAUCAGCCACACUGGGACUGAGACACGGCCCAGACUCCUACGGGAGGCAGCAGUGGGGAAUAUUGGACAAUGGGCGAAAGCCUGAUCCAGCAAUGCCGCGUGAGUGAUGAAGGCCUUAGGGUUGUAAAGCUCUUUUACCCGGGAUGAUAAUGACAGUACCGGGAGAAUAAGCUCCGGCUAACCCCGUG